rnacentral:rRNA from 1 species
UACGUAGGGUGCGAGCGUUGUCCGGAAUUAUUGGGCGUAAAGAGCUCGUAGGCGGUCUGUCGCGUCUGCUGUGAAAAUCCAGGGCUCAACCCUGGACCUGCAGUGGGUACGGGCAGACUAGAGUGCGGUAGGGGAGAUCGGAAUUCCUGGUGUAGCGGUGAAAUGCGCAGAUAUCAGGAGGAACACCGGUGGCGAAGGCGGAUCUCUGGGCCGUAACUGACGCUGAGGAGCGAAAGCAUGGGGAGCGAACAGG